rnacentral:rRNA from 1 species
UCCCCUAGUAACGGCGAGUGAAGAGGGAAAAGCUCAAAUUUAAAAUCUGGCGGUCUUCGGCCGUCCGAGUUGUAGUUUAGAGAGGUGCUUUCCGCGCUGGACCGUGUACAAGUCCCCUGGGAUGGGGCGUCAUAGAGGGUGAGAAUCCCGUCCAUGACACGGACUACCAGGGCUAUGUGAUGCGCCUUCAAAGAGUCGAGUUGUUUGGGAAUGCAGCUCAAAAUGGGUGGUAAACUCCAUCUAAAGCUAAAUAUUGGCGAGAGACCGAUAGCGAACAAGUACCGUGAGGGAAAGAUGAAAAGAACUUUGGAAAGAGAGUUAAACAGUGCGUGAAAUUGCUGAAAGGGAAACGCUUGAAGUCAGUCGCGUUCGGCGGGACUCAGCCUUGCUUCUGCUUGGUGCACUUCCUGUCGGACGGGUCAGCGUCGAUUUUGACCGCUGGACAAUGGAGGGAGGAAUGUGGCACCUUCGGGUGUGUUAUAGCCUCUUUUCGUAUACAGUGAUUGGGAUCGAGGACCGCAGCGCGCCUCUGGUCGGGGGUCUCCCCACGUAUCGCGCUUAGGAUGCUGGCGUAAUGGCUUUAAACGACCCGUCUUGAAACACGGACCAAGGAGUCCAACAUGCAUGCGAGUGUUAGGGUGGUAAACCCUUGCGCGUAAUGAAAGUGAAAAGUUGGGACUCUCGUCACUGGGAGGCACCGACGCCCGAUCCUGACCUUUUGCGACGGAUUUGAGGUAGAGCAUGUAUGCUGGGACCCGAAAGAUGGUGAACUAUGCCUGAAUA